rnacentral:rRNA from 1 species
UACGGGGGGGGGCAAGCGUUGUUCGGAAUUACUGGGCGUAAAGGGCUCGUAGGUGGCCAACUAAGUCAUACGUGAAAUCCCUCGGCUUAACCGGGGAACUGCGUCUGAUACUGGAUGGCUUGAGGUUGGGAGAGGGAUGCGGAAUUCCAGGUGUGCGGUGAAAUGCGUAGUAUAUCUGGGAGGAACACCGGUGGCGAAGGCGGCAUCCUGGACCA